rnacentral:lncRNA from 1 species
AACACAACCUAUCUUAAACAUUCUGCUGGAACCGCAACCUAUCUUAAACAUUCUUACGAGAGUUUCAAAACAACACAAUGUUUUUUUGUGUAUGAAGCACAAGUGUUAAGUCAGCAAAGGAUUCCUGCAGAGAUAUAAACAUCUGAGUGGAGUUUUGACCAGAUCAACAGUCGGACGGAAUGGUACCGUCUACAUAGAGAUGAAGUUUACCAUUUUAAAUAGACCCAGUGGUGUUUAUAUAAAUAGUGCAGAGAACGGGUCCAGAACCGACCCAUGUGGGGUCUCUCCUGUCUCUCUCUCUCUCUCUCUCUCUCUCUCUUUCUCUCUCUCUUCUCUCUCUCUCUCUCUCUGUCUCUCUCUCUCUCUGUCUCUCUCUCUCUGUCUCUCUGUCUCUCUCUCUCUCUUCUCUCUCUCUUCUCUUCUCUCUCUCCUCUCUCUCUCUCUCUGUCUCUUCUCUGUCUCUCUCUCUGUCUCUCUCUCUGUCUCUCUCUCUGUCUCUCUCUCUCUCUCCUCUCUCGUCUCUCUCUCUUCUCUCUCUGUCUCUCUGUGCUCUCUCUCUUCUCCUCUCUUGUCUCUCUCUCUCUCUCUCUCUCUCCUCUCUCCUCUCCUCUGGUUCUCUCUCGUCUCUCUUUCUCUCUCUUUCCUCUUCUGUCUCCUCUCUCCGCUCUCUCAGCCCUCUCUCUCUCUCCUCCUGCUUCUGUCUCUUCUGUCUGUCUGUCUGUCUGUCGGUCUGUCUGUCUGUCUGUCUGUCUGUCUGUCUGUCUGUCUGUCCUGUCUGUCUGUCUGUCCUGUCUGUCUGUCUGUCUGUCUGUCUGUCUGUCUGUCUGUCUGUCUGUCUGUCUGUCUGUCUGUCUGUUCUGUCUGUCUCUCUCGCUGUCUCUCUUCCCCUCUCUUCUGUCUUCCUCCCUCUCUCUGUCUCUCCCCUCUCUCUGUCUCUCCCCUCUCUUCUGUCUCUCGCCUCUUCUGUCUCUCCCUCUUCUGUCCUCCCCUCUCCUCUCCCCUCUUCUCUUUC